rnacentral:tRNA from 1 species
GGGGCUAUAGCUCAGUGGCAGAGCGCUUGACUGGCACAUAGGAGGCACUGGGUUCGAUCCUCAGCACCA